UCAGUCGUCCGUCUGGAGUCGCGGCGGCCGGCCGGGCCGCGCGGCGCAAAUCACGUUCCUCGUGCUCUUGUGAUUAUAAAUUUAAAUUAAAAAACAAAAUUUUAAAUUAAUAUCUAAACACCGCGUCUAAUCGAAAUAUUUUUAGACUAAACCCCCUUGAUCCUCACUUUUUGAUCUUAACUGUUGAUGGUGAACAAAAAGUUUUUUGCAAAAUUUUUAAUAUUUAUGUCGGUUACAUUUGUGGAGAAAUUUGGAAAUUUGAAACGAUUGAUCGUUAUUGAGAAUAUUUUUAUUUUAAAGUAUUUUUUUGGACGGACGUGACAGUGAGCGAACACAUAUAACGUUAGAGUUAAAAACAUUUAGAGUUAUUGUAAGGACUAACUAUUUCAUUGUAAUGGACGUUAAUUAUUUACUGCCAUAAGUUUUAAUUGUAAUGUUAAUAGGACAUUUGGCUUUAGUGUAAAAACUGGACUGUUUUAUCAGCGAGAAGAGUUUUCUUGGACCAAGACGACCCACAACACCAGACCGUCUGCUUCGAGCACUUUUCUUUCUUUAGCAAAACCCUCAAAACUACGGGAAUAGGAUUCUACACCGGAUAAGAAAAUAAAAUCACAUUCAUGCGCGGGGGACGCGCGGGGGGGCCCAGCCCGCCGCCCGCUCGCCCAAUCGCGGCGCGCCUCGCCUGUGAUGUCAUCGGAGGAGGAGGCCGACUCACACGCGCCCUACGGAGAUAAGCUUCUAAAGAAACAGAAACGCGCCCGACAGCGCGUGGACGCCGGGGAGCCGCGCAAUUCUUACUCGACUCUCGCGACGGACGGACACGCGCCCGCGCGCGCCGCAAACUCAAUGAGCGGCGGACUGUACGGCGCCAUCUUCGAGGGCCGCCAGCACUUCGGCCUGUUCGGCCCCGGCUACGCGCCCGCGGAGAUGCUCAACGAGCUGCUGUCCCGCACGCCCUCGCAGGACGACUCCGGCGAGGAGGCGGCGGGCGGUGACAUCGCGCACAAGGUGCUGCGAGACAUCCUGCAGUCGCGCAAGAAGGAGCUGCUGCGCCUGUCGCCCGACAACAACAAUGUGCUCGCUAACAACAACAACGACGAGCCCAAGCACGAGAAGCGCUCGCCCGAGCGGCAGCCGGCUCGGGACUCGCGACCCGGCUCGCGCGGCGCUCUGGACGGCGGCUCGCAGCGCACCUCGCCCGCGCCCGCCGAGCCCGAGCCGCUGCUGGCGCCCAAGUGCGAGCCCGACGACGACGCCGGCCGCUCCUCGCCGCGCCCCACGGAGGUGAAGCGCGCGCGCGUGGAGAACAUCGUGUCCAGCAUGCGCGCCAGCCCCGCGCCGCCGCAGGUCAACGGCUGCAAGAAGCGCAAGCUGUACCAGCCGCAGCAGCACGAGCGCGCCGGCGGCUACGAGCGCAGCCGCGGCAGCAGCGCGCACACGCUGAGCGAGGACUCGGACGACGACCCCGACCGCCCGCCGCUGCAGCAGAAGCUGGUGGAGAAGAACGCGCUCAAGUCGCAGCUGCGCACCAUGCAGGAGCAGCUCGCAGAGAUGCAGCAGAAGUACGUGCAGCUGUGCAACCGCAUGGAGCAGGACUCGGAGACCGCGGACAACGACGCGUCCAGCGACGUGGAGCACGUGGACGAGCCCGUGCCCAAGUCCGAGCCGCCCUCGCCCGCCAAGGAGGCGCCGCCGCCCGCCAGCACCACGCCCAAUAUGCUGUCGCAGGUCAUGAACAAGAUGAUGUCGGCCAAGAUGCACGCGCACGCCGCGCAGCACCUGCCGCCCGGGUUCAACGGCAUGCCGCUGCUGCCGCUGGGCGAGCACCUGCCGCCGCACCACCUGCCGCCGCACCCGCUCAACAACGCCGCCGCCAUGUACCUCAACGUGAGCCAGAAGCUGUUCCUGGAGCAGGAGGCGCGGCUGAAGGAGGCGGCGGAGCAGGCGCGGCCGCAGUCCCGCCAGCACUCGCCGCGCCCGCCGCCCGCGCCGCGGCCGCCGCUGGCCGGCGAGCUGGCCGAGCGCCUGGACGCGCUGCGCCAGCAGCAGGGCGCCGUGGGGCCCGUGUCCGGCGCCGACCUGGAGGGGCUCGCCGACGUGCUCAAGAGCGAGAUCACGUCCUCGCUGGCCAGCCUCAUCGACUCCAUCGUGACGCGCUUCGUGCACCAGCGCCGCGUGCUGGGCAAGCAGUCGGAGGCGGCGGCGGCGGCGGCGGACCAGCUCAACAAGGACCUGCUGCGCGCCACGCGCCUCAUCGACAGGAAGUCGCCGCCGCCCAAGCCGGCCGAGCGCCCGCAGCCGCAGGGCAACCCGCCGCACCACCACCCCGGGGGCCUGCCCAACGGCAACCCCUUCAUGUCCCACAACCCGAUGCUCAUGGGCCAGAUGAACGGCCCGCACCCGCCGGCCGGCCCCGGCUUCCCGCCCAUGCACGAGGGGCCGCCGGGCCACGGCCACGUGCGGCCCGGCAUGUUCCAGGCGCCGCCCAAGUCGCUCGGCCAGUCUCUGUACGCGUCCAUGAACGGGCACUUCGAGCGCGAGCCGAACCCCGAGCAGAACGAGGCGCUGAGCCUCGUGGUCACGCCCAAGAAGAAGCGGCACAAGGUGACGGACACGCGCAUCACGCCGCGCACCGUGUCGCGCCUGCUGGGCGAGGGGCACUCGCCGGAGAGCAACAAGUUCCCGGAGUCGCCGUCGCCGCGGCCCUACCCGGGCGGCAUGGCGCUGCCGACGUCCGUGGCCAUCCCCAACCCGGGGCUGCACGAGAGCCAAGUGUUCUCGCCCUACUCGCCGUUCUUCAGCGCGGGCGGCAUGGCGCGCUCGCCGCCGGCGCCGGAGCGGGACUCGCCGCCGCUGCCGCCGCCGCCGCUGCUGCACCCCGCGCUGCUGGCGGCUGCCCCCGACUACCUGCGCCACCAGCACAUGCACCACCACCACCUGGACCAGGACCACUCCGACUGCAACUCCACCGACCUGCCCUACGACGGCGUGCAGCCUACUAUAUCCUUUUACAAUGGAACUACACAACAACAAGCAAAUUCCACGCUGACGCCCAUGCACCUCCGGAAGGCCAAGCUCAUGUUCUUCUGGGUGCGCUAUCCCAGCUCCGCCGUGCUCAAGAUGUACUUCCCCGACAUCAAGUUCAACAAGAACAACACCGCGCAACUCGUCAAGUGGUUCUCAAACUUCAGAGAGUUCUACUACAUCCAGAUGGAGAAGUACGCGCGGCAGGCCAUCAGCGAGGGGCUGAAGGCGGCCGAGGAGCUGCACGUGGCCGGCGACUCCGAGCUGUACCGCGUGCUCAACCUGCACUACAACCGCAACAACCACAUUGAGGUCCCGCAGAACUUCCGGUACGUGGUGGAGCAGACCCUGCGCGAGUUCUUCCGCGCCAUCCAGGGCGGCAAGGACACGGAGCAGAGCUGGAAGAAGAGCAUCUACAAGGUGAUCUCGCGCCUCGACGACCCCGUGCCCGAGUACUUCAAGACACCCAACUUCCUGGAGCAGCUGGAGUAACGGGAACACACAAAAAUAAAAAAAAACACGACACUCGCAUUUAGGCCUUCAGAUUCAAAAUUUAUGUAAAAUUAAAUAAAUUAUUAAAAGUAAAACGGUAAACGUUCGAGAGAGUCCCGACUCUGCGCUCUACUAGGAAAUUCAUUAGCAAGUAACGACUAAGACAAAUUUUAAGUCACCUAGAAUUUUAUUUGUGCACAUAAUAUAUUUCGCUAUAUAUAAUUAUUAUAUUAUGAUUAAGUAUUAUCUUAAAUGUUUUUAUAGUUGUGUAUAUCUUGAAAUCAUUUAUUGAUUUAUUCUUUAAGAGAUAAAAAAUCGAUUUAAUAUAUUAAUUGCUUAAGUUUGAGAUGUUUUGUUGUUUUUAUUUGGUUUCGGUCCUUGGUUUCCUUCUGGUUCGGGCAUCCUUGGUUGUUCUCUUGUUGCGUUGGCCGCUCGGCCCUUGUCAACCUUUACCUCGUCGCUAUUAUUUUAGGAAUAAUUAACGUUAACCAUAGUAAUUAGUACAAUAGACCAGGGUUGAUUUUCGAUCCACAGACAAACAAACAGAUUUAUAACAUUAUUUUUAUACAGAUAGCCGGUUUUCUGUUCGUGCAGGAAGUUAUGAUACAAUAAUAAAUACUAUUACCGUAACAAAAUUCCAAUAUUCAUUACACAUCUUGAGUUGAGAUUAAAGUAAACAUCCUUGUUUCACGUUAUGAUACAUUUCGGCAGGUUCGGAUCGCAAUAUUCGUUUAGUCCGGGUCAUCCCGGACAUAGGGUUAAGUUUAUUUUUUAGAUAAAAUACUAUUUUCCGAGGCUUUGCGGGGGCAAUACCAGCUAAUGAACGGGCGGUUACAGCAACCUAUCGUAUAUCUAAUCACACAGUUCAGAAUUAAUAAUUACAAUAUGUAUUUGACUCAAUUUCCUUUAACAAUAUAACUCCAAUUAUAAUACCGUCAAUCUUGUAUGUAUCUCAGCAGCUGGCCCGUUCAUGGAGCGCACGGGAGAAGGCUCGCACAGACCAACAAUAUUGAAGGCAAAAUCAAACAAACCAUUAUUACUGUCGCUACAAAAAAAAUACUAAAAUCCGCACGAUUACUUCCGACAGUUCUCUGUGUCAGUGAUAUUGGAGCGACACGUCCGAUCAAAAGUGCCUUCAAAAUCAGUCAAUUUCAUAACAAAACAAUAAGAAAUAGGCCAUAUUACAACAUACAUUGAGGCCCCUCGUCCUCUCCGCUGCGCUCGCGCCACCCCCGCCAGCCACUGUUCGCCGUAAUCUGAACGAUCAAUAUACAUACACACACUAUUAUACUAUAGAAGAUUAAUUAGUAUGAUUCGUAGAUAUACGUAGCGCGGCGACAUUCGGGCUUGAUCCUGAAUCCUGAAACACAUUUGUGAAGAAACUUGAGGCUCUCCUAACUUUUUUGAGGAAUUAAUGAAAACGUAAUACAAAAGUCCCAUGUAGCCAGAGACGGAAUGUUGAGUGAAAUGGUGUUCGGAUGAUUUCAGGAACAAUGCCGAGUGGCGUCGCAUAUCUCGAUGUAUUUGUUAUACCACGUAGACCCGCCGCCCCCCGCGGCUCACCCCCUCGGUUACCAUCCUCAGUUACAGACAGACAGAUACACAAUAUACACAUACUCAGUUCGCUUCUCUACAUAGACUAUACAUAGAUAGAUAGUUGUACAGAGAUGUAUAGACACAUGUACAUAAAAUACAAUAGGCUAAACAGAAGAGUCAAAACUAUCUUAGCGCUAAAGGUAAAGUUAGCUCAAUAGACACGGAUAGAUUCUAAUUCAUUUGCAGAUUGUACAAUAAGAUUAUCGCAUCCUCAGUUCACAGUAUGACCGCGGGGAGGCGGACGGCUUAGCUAAGCAGGUUUAAGAUUUCAUUUUAUAUUACCUAUACACGUUUGUUACCGUUUCAUUUGUAACCAUUUGAACUAUUUGAUGAUAAGUGAAAUAAGUUCAGGAUGGACCGCGCCGACUGAUGAAGCAGCUACAGACGAGACACAAACCUUACAGACAAUGACACAAUCCCCACACACCAAGUUUUUACAACAGAUUUUUCGACCAUAAACUGGUUUUCAUUUUCUAAAUUUUUCUCAGGCCGCGAUUCUGGACCCACAAUGUCCCGUGGGCCGGAGUCGCUGGCCUCCACUACAGCCAUAGUACAGCAAUAGCCCGGGUUAAGUUUCUGCGAUACACCGUGAGUUCGUCGUUACGUCGCGCAGGGCUAGUUCGAGCAUCGUUCAUGUUACGUGUUAUGUUACAAGUUGUUGGUUUUGUUCGUCCAUUGACCGCGCGGGCGGAGCGGAGCCUCUCUCACCGGAAUUGAGGAAAACAUCGAUGAAGGAAUUGAUUAUUCGUAGCGGCAACAUUGCCUAGACCCCGACAUCCCUGUAGCUGUAAGCGCAGGGGCAUCCCUGUAACUGUAAGCGCAGGGGCCCCGCUCCGCUCGCCGCUCAUUCCGCGUCAUGUUUUAUUCUUGUAGUAAGUAAUGAGUCCGUUAUUCCGACUUCUCCAUAGAUUCCUCCGUAUAUUUAGACGUUAAUGCAGGCUACUCAACACAUUUUACAAUAGACAAGAAUGAGUUCCCACCGACAGCAUCGACCGACGUGCCGUAUUUAGCAAAUACUUGGAGCCGUUAUUUCAUAAUUUCACCGAAAUUAUUUUUCGACAAGGUAAUUCUAAGACGACUAUAAGCAGUAGGUUCGUUUGGCAUUAUACUGAGCAGUUACAGUUGUGUUCGCGGCGCGCCGCAAGACCACAAUGGAUAUAUCGAUAUUCGCCGAUUCUCGUAAUGUUUUCAGCGUUUGGAUUAUUUAAAAUUUACAUUAUAAGUUAUCGGUUGACAAUUUUUCUAAAUUAGUGUAAAGACUCAAGUCUGAAACAUCGAAAUGUUUAGUCCACAGUGAUCGUGGAAAGGCAUUCCACAGAAAAAGUACAAAAUUCGGUGUUGACUUUUAAAGCUCAUGUUUGUAUCUAUUAUAUAUGUAGAUUAAAUAAAAUGGCCCUUUCGGCGACAUCAUGUCUUAUCUAUUUGUUUAAAAAAUCUUGUAUCUAGAUAUAGUGUAUCUUUGUUUCAAAAGUGUAUCUAUAAAAUUUAUUUUACAUUGUCAUAAUUAUGUAUUUUGAGUCCGUCUAAGAAAUGUUUGGAUUAUCGUGUAAAAUCAAAUGAAUAUGUAGGUUUAUUUUCAAAAUUAUAUAAAAGAAACUGGAUAGUUUUGGUUUCACGUUUGGGUAUUAUGGUUCCUAAAUUGUCGAAAUUGUAAUAGACUCUAUCGUAUGUAGCAUUUCAUUUUUGGAAUUUAGAAACAUUUAGAUGUACCAAAUAGAUGUAUCAAUCAACUUUUCUAUACAUGAUUAAGGAGAUGCGAAAAAUUAGCUAGUGUUCAGAUAUUAUGUAAGUUGAUCCGUUAUUGAUAACUUAUUGAUGAAUCUGUCUAAAUUGAGCACGGAUUUACAGCUACUACUAGAGUUGUCGAUAAACUUGAUAUACACCGAUGAUAUUGUAAGUUCAGUAUAAUGUAAAGAAGAUCGCAAAAUUGUCACAAAUAUAAGUAUUAAACUAAAGUCAUCCAUUAUCAAACAGAGCAAUCGUAAUUUUAUGUUGAUCAAUAUUGUGAAAGAUAUUAUGUUCCAUAUCCUUGUGGUCUUCAUUGUAACAGCAAUACAAGCAUAAGAUUUUGUGUUCAUACAUAAUGUGUACGUAUUUUUAUCUAUUUGUGUAUCAGUUAUGUUCGUUUUCAAAAGUGUGAGCUACAGAAAUUGUUGUGGCAUCAUUUCGUAUAAUGUAUUUUGUAAACUACAGCGAGCGGUCGCGGAUGCCAGUGAUAAAAAUUAGAAACAAAAUUAAAAAAACGAAACUAUUUUAGUAAAAGUGUAGCGAGUCGGCCCGCGCCCGCGCCUCGUUGCCGUGGCUAGUGGCUCGUGGCUAGUGGCUAUGGCUAAUGGGCGCGGGCCGACCCGCUGACUUCACAUUUGACUAGUUUUAUUAAGCGUUUAGGCGUUAUAUUUCGGCAUCCUCGCAUUUGGACUAAGUGAUAGGGCCCCGCGGCCGCUGCGUCUGAUAUAUUUAGUACAAAUUUCAUGAUGUUAAGGUUACGAGGCUCAAAGCUUUUCUUUCGGAGCCCCCGCGCCGCCGCCCUCGCCCAAAACCGAUGAUAUAAAUUCGUCGUGUAUAAAAUUUUAUUCAAAAAAGAGUAUUUUUGUAUUGAAUAUUUCUAAAGUUGGUGUAAAGAUCAAAAUUCCGUAAAUUAUAGCGAUGACAAGAGGAAGAUGGCUAGGUGAAAUUAGAGUGUCAUGCGUUUUUGUAUUUAAUUUUAAGAAUAGCAUCGGAUAAUAAUCGCUUAGGAACAUUAACCAUUUGUAAAUAAAAAGUUGACCGGCUCGGGGGCCGGGGGGGCGGCGCGGGGCGAGUUAUAGAUAAAAAAUAUAUAAAUAAAGAUGUUUAUAUGGUUCUGGAUGUAAAAAAGAUAAAUUUAAAAACGAUUUUAAGAUGAUGAAAAGAAAUUGAAAACGAUUCCUCGGUAUUUGUCUCGGGAUGGCCGACGGGUCACUAUUGUAAUCUGUGCGCCUCAGACAAAUCAUACCUAAUGUAACGAAAACUAACCUAACCUAACUACGCAUUAAUUAUUAUGAUUCUUAAUACUACAACAAUACUUAUACAUUAAUAUAAUAUCACAUUGUCAUAAUGCUUAUAAUUUACGAGCGUGUGUCUUUGUCCAUGAAUGUUUUAGGAAAUAACCACUGUUCGGUGUAUUAGCGUUAUUAAUUGGAAUAAUAAAAAAAUAUUAUGGAAAGUUAAAGUGUAACAAAAUUGUACAAUCGGCCGCGGCUACACGUUGCGUUCACUUUUUGGUCUAAAACUAAACAAUUGGCUGUUCAAAUUAAUAAUAUGUUGAGACAAAAUUUUCAAAAUUGACUAUAGAAUGAUGUGGACCAAGAGUCCACAACACCUCCGUCUGUAGGAGAUAUGUUGAUACGAGUGAGGGAAUGUUUCUUCAUGAAUAUAACGAGUAAUAAAGCUAAGCUUUUAUUUGAA